rnacentral:lncRNA from 1 species
UAAAAAGCUAAAAUAAAUAAAUUUAAAAAAAACAAAAAUAGGAAAAAACGAGAAAGAAAAAACAAAAAAAUAACAAAAAAAAGUCAAUACAACAACAACAACAUACCCAGUGUAUUCCCACAUAGUGGAGUCUGGGGAGGAUAGAGUGUACACGGACCAUGUCACUACCUCAGGUGAAGUAGAGAGGUUGUUUUCGAUAGAUCCCCCUGUCUUCGGACCGAUAAUAGUAUAGCAAUCACAAAACAUAAAUGCGUAUAGACUAGUACAUUAUGCAAAAUAAACUAACACCGCUAUCCACAAGAAUACUACUCAGCCACAAGAUAAUACUAAGAACUAUCUUCCGAAAUCAUAGACAUCACUCAACACCAUGAACAAGAAACUUCAAACACAAAUAAGGAACAUUCCCCUACUGUAACCGACACACUCUCACCCCCUAACUCUCUACCCUAAUCCGCGUUCUCUACACCUUCCUAUCUAGGGUCAUGUCCUCUGUAAUCUGUAACUUUACCAUAUCAUGUCUAAUCACCUCCCUCCAAUAUUUCUUCGACCUACCUGCCUCCGUAUAGCUAGAGAGGAUGCUUACGGGUCAAGAUAUACUUGAAGACUUCUUGAUGGCUAUAAAAAGGCGUCCAUUGAAUGAUUAUGAUGAUCAAGGAGGUUCAAAGGACGUUAGAGAGGUCAAGGGAAGGCCAAACAGGGCUAGAAAAACCCCGUAAGAGGAAAUAUGCCCUAUCCGAUUUGGAGGUGUUCCCAACCCGCUCUCGAUCCACUAGAGUAGGUCAAAACAACCCACUACACUUUUGGGAUGCGCCC